rnacentral:tRNA from 1 species
GGAGAGAUGGCCGAGAGGCUGAAGGCGACGGUUUGCUAAACCGUUAUACGCUGAAAGGUGUAUCGAGGGUUCGAAUCCCUCUCUCUCCGCCA